rnacentral:lncRNA from 1 species
GGCACUGGGCAGCACUGGUUGCCGCAGGGCAGCCCCCCCCCCAGCAGCCGCCCCCGCCGCAGCGUGUCUGGUCGGUGACUCACGGCCGGGCCGGGGGCCACACGUGUGCCGAGCGCGGGGCUCAGCACGGCCACGUGGCCCAACCCGGUCACCGUGGGGCCCGGGGAGCCUGCGGGAUCCUGCCGGGGCCUGGCGCGGUGCUGGGCCGGUAGGAACGGGGCACGCGGUGCCGUGAGGCCUGUCCGAAGUGGCUCUGGGUGACGGGGACAGCCCGGUGCCACACGCUCGGUGGCCUUGGCGUGGCCGUGCCGUGCCCGUGCGGUGCCGGUGCUGGGUCCCGUGCCGGUGCCGCGCUGGUUCCUGCACAGAGCUGGUGCCGAGGCAGUGCCAGGGCCAACCGGUGCUGGUGCUGCACGGUGCCAACACCGGUGCCGAGGCAGCACGGCUCCUGCGUGGUGCCAGUGCCAUGCCGUGCCAACGGUGUGAGUGCCGGCUGUGGGGCCAGGAGGUGCCAAUACGGUGCCGGUGCCGGUGCCGUGCGGAGCCAAAGCAGUGCCGUGCCCACGCAGUGCCAGUGCCGGUGCCACACAGUGCCAGUGCCGUGCCAAUGCGGUGCCAACUCCGUGCUGGUGCUGUGUGGUGCCGGUGUGGUGCCGUGCCGUCCCAGCGCGGUGCCGGUGCCGUUCCCGUGCCAAGGUGAUGCCAACACGGUGCCGGUGCCGUGCCAACGCAGUGCCAACUCAGUGCCAACGAGGUGCUGUUGCCAUUCCCGUGCCAUGCUGUGCCGUGCCAACGCGGUGCCGGUGCCAUUCCCGUGCCAAGGUGAUGCCAACGCGGUGCCGGUGCCGGUGCCAUCCCCGUGCCAACGCGGUGCCAACGCGGUGCCGGUGCCGUUCCCGCCCCCCCCCCCAACCCUCCCCAAAUCCCCUCCCGGUGCCGCCCCCAGCCCGCCCCCGCCCCUCCCCUGCCCUCCCCCGGUGCUCGGCGGGGCCGUGCCGGUGCUCGGCGGCGGCGGCGGCGGCGAUGGCGCUGUCGGGGCCGCCCCGUUCCUGCCUCCUGCUGGCGGCCGCGCUGCUGCUGCCGCUGCCCGGGGCCGCCCCGGACCCCGCCGCGCCCGCGCUCACCGACGCCGAGAUCGAGGCGUUCCUCAGGGGCUUCCUCGGGCCCGACGGGGACCGCGACGGCGACGGCGACGGGGACGGGGACGGGGAUGGCACCGAGCCGGGCUUCGCCACCGAGCAGGGCACCGGCACCGGGCUGAGCACCGACCCUCCGGGGCGGCUGCCGGAGCCCGAGGCACCCAAGAAGGGCCGGAAGGAAAAAGCCCCAAAACCCACCAAAAAGCCCAAGGAGAGAGCACGGGGCUCCAAAAAGGACAAGGACAGGGACAGGGACAAGGAGCGGGACAAGAGCAGGGACAAGAGCAAGGACGGGGACAAGCCCCCCAAGAAGCCCAAGGAGAAGCCACCCAAGGAGAAGCCACCCAAGGCCACCAAGAAGCCCUCGGGCACGAGGCCCCCGGAGCCACCGGACACCCCCUGGGAGCCCCCCGUGGCCCCGCACCCCCCGCGGGGCGAGGACAGAGAGGGGACGUCCCUGUCCCCAGGGCAGCCGCGGGUCCCUGAGGAGGAGGAGGAGGAUGGCAGAGACCGAGGCGGGCUGGAGGAGCUGCCGACGGAGCGCUGGGAGCUGGGGGGGGAGGACUGGCACCCCCCUCCCGAGGCUGAGGUCCCCGCGGAGCCGGAGCCGCCGACGCUGGACUACAACGAGCAGCUGGAGCGGGAGGACUACGAGGACUUCGAGUACAUUCGGCGGCAGCAGAAACCCCGCAAGCCCCCCAGCAGGAAGAAACCCGAGCGAGUCUGGCCCCAGCCGGAGACGCCACCACGUCAG